rnacentral:tRNA from 1 species
UCCCUGAUAGCUCAGAGGUUAAAGCAUCUGCCUCCAAUGCAGGAGACCCUGGUUCAAUCCCUGGGUCGGGAA